ACCGCAAAACCCAAAGACCCACUUAGGUGUCCCCUCUCUCCGCAGAAGAGAGAGCUUUUCCCUUUCUCUCUGUUAAACCUCUUCUCUUAAACUCACUUCUUGCGUGUCCUCGUCCUCGAUUUCCUUGGCGUAAGACGACGAACCUCAGGCAUUUACCCCAGACAACGAAGGUGCUUCAUAAGGUCAUGCAGCUGGGUCAACAUAGGACUGUGUAGCCAAGAGCUACAGGAUGGAUUGCUGAGGCCAGGGAGAUUGAAAGGAAGUCACAGCCCAAUCUCAGAGGGAUCCACGGAGCCAGCGAAAGCUAAGGCGGGACUUACCCAACAGAGGGUCCUGGCCCAGUCACCCAGUGGCACAACCCAACUGGGAGAUCUGAGCAUCUACCAACUGUGGCCACCAGUGAGAUGGUGUCAUUGUCUGGGAGGCCAGCAGAAGUCUCAGUGAUCGGGCAGGACAAAGGACAUUUCUGCAGAGAAUACUGAAGGUCCAGGAGACAGCACAGUGGGACAUAUGUGGGCCCCUGCCCCAUCAUUAGGAGGAAGUGUAGGCUUUUCUGAGGACCUGGAUGCCAUACCAUCUUGAGACAGAGAAUGAGGAACCAACCCUUGACAAGAGAGAGAUGGCCCUGGUAGAGAAUUUGAACCUUGAAUUGGAUUGAAUAUUUAUCCAAAAGAAAUUGAACCAGCACUAGAGAGACUGUUUUGAACUAGAAGUAACCAAGUUACCUUAACUGGAAGUUAGGAUUUUUCCACCCCUGACAUCAGUGGGACAAGGGCACAUGAGCAAGAUAUUUACGGACAAAGAAGAACGUUCAUGUUUUGUACACCUGCUUUGUAGUAUGUUGCAGAUACCGUUGGUUCCCCUGAUUUCAGGUGUUCUCGUUCUUUCUGUACAGUCACUUGCUCAGGGCAAAUGGUCCUCUCCUGCAUGACUCAGAAGCACAUACUGAUUAUUCUAAACUGGUCUUCAUGCCCCGUUCCCUUGUCAGUGAUGUAGUUAGGCAAAGGAUUAUGUAACAAUUCUGGCUAUGAGACAUUGAAACUUCUACUGUGGGGCAUCUGGGAAGAUUUUUCUCAUUGAAAAGAAGAGACGCAGGGUGUGGAGACUCAUGCCUGUAAUCCGAGCCCUUGGGAGGCCCAGGAGGGAGGGUCACCUGAGUCCAAGAGCUCAAGGCCAGUUCGAGCAACAUACCAAGGCUGCAAUAAACAAGCAAACAAACAAACAAACAUUAGCUGGGCACGGUAGUGCACACCUGUAGUCCCAGCUACUCAGGAGGCUGAAAUGGGAGGAUUGCUUGAGCCCAGGAGUUUGAGGCUGCAGUGAGCUAUGAUUGCACCACUGCACUUCAGCCUGGGCAACAGAGCGAGAUCCUGUCUCUAUAAAAAAAUUUUAAAAAAAGGAAGAAAAGAAAAGAAGAGACACACGUGGAAGAAACAGUCUCUAUUCUGAUGCAAGUAAUGACUGGAACUGUGGCAGACAGCUUGGAACCAUGAGAGGAGUUAACUGAGGGCUAUCAGGGAAACUAGAAGAAGCCUGGGUCCUUGAGGAGGCAGACUACUAAAUGGACCAUCGUCCCUUCACCCUUUUUGUUAUGUGAGAUAAUAAACUCUCUAAUUUAAAUCUACUUGAGAUGAAUAUCUGAUACUUGUAGCCAAAAUCAUCCUUAAUGGGACAGAGUGUGGGUAAAUUAUCAACCUUGCUAGCCUUGCCUCAUAAUUUUUGAAUUUAUUUUUAUCUUUUAAUUUUGUUUAUUUUUUAUUUUUAAAGUAGAGACAGGAUCUCAUUAUGUUGCUCAGGCUGGUCUCGAAUCCCUGGCCUCAAGGGAUCCUCCUGCCUCAGCCUCCUAAAGUGCUGAGAUUACAGGUAUGAGCCCCUAUGCCAGGCCAUUGCUUUGCCAUUGUAUCCAUGUGAUUGCAAAAAAGAAAAUCGUGCUAAUAGUCAUUAGCUUUGAAAGACACUUGGAAUUUCUUCCUUCAAGCGAGCUUUAUUCCCAAACUGUUGAACCCUCUGGGUUUGACAGCAGGAUCUACUUCACAUGGUAGCAUCUCCUUCUAUUUGCCUUCAAGACAUUUCCUAAGGGAAGAGAUGAAGACACACUUGUAACGUGAACAAAAUAAUCCUUUUUCCUUUUAAAAAUGUAUGAUUAAAAUGUAAAAUAUAUAUAUAUAUUCUUAAAUGUAAAAUAUAUAUAUAUAUCUUCUAGAGUUGCCUGGAAAGUGAGCUGAGAGCAGUUAAACAUCAAACCCACUGCUGCUUUCCAGCUUUAACCAGAAUCACCAUUGUCUUUCCCUAUGAAAGAAAGGAAAUCUUAGAACUUAAAAGGAUUUCAAGAAGAACUGAAUUUUAACCACUGAGAUGACCAGAGAUGUAAGGCUCACACUGACUGAAGCAGUAUAAUUUGGCUGUCUUUUUAACAUUCAGAAUUCUCUCUGACUCUCCAAAAUUGCAUCUACUUUGAUGAGCUUAUUUUUUUCCUCAACCAAAUUACAUUUCUUGGAGUUCACCUGAUACAUCAUGCCUACUUACUUUUUUUUUUAGAUGGAGUCUUGCUCUGUCACCCAGGCUGGAGUGCAGUGGUGCAAUCUCGGCUCAUUGCAACCUCUGCCUCCCAGGUUCAAGUGAUUCUCCUGCCUCAGCCCCCCAAGUAGCUGGGAUUACAGGUGCGUGCCACCACGCCCAGCUAAUUUUUGUAUUUUUAGUAGAGACAGGGUUUCGCCAUGUUGGUCAGGCUGGUCUCGAACUCCUGACCUCAAGUGACCCACCUGCCUUGGCCUCCCAAAGCGCUGGGAUUACAGGGGUAAGCCACCAUGUCCAGCCCUGCCUACUUACUUUGAACAAAUUAUUUCAGGCUAAUUUACUAGCUGGAGAGAAAGAGGGAGGGAAGCAGGGAGGAAGCAAAGAUAGAGGGAGAGAAAGAGAGGGAGACAGAGAGGAAGAGGGAGAGGGAGAGGAGAGAGAGAGAAAGAAUGAAUUGUGUUCUCCCAAAAUUAGUAUGUUGAAGUCUUAAUAUCCCAGUACCUCAGACUAUGACUGUAUCUGUAGAUAGGGCUUUUGAAAAGGUGAUUAUGUUUAAAUGAGGCCAUUGGGGUGGGCCCUAAUCCAGUCCAACUGUUGUCAUUGUAAGAAGAAGAGAUUAGGACACAGAGAUACCAGGCAUGUGCGUGCCCAGACAGACAACUAUGUGAAGAGACAACAAUAGGUCAGCCAUCUGCAAGCUGAGGAGAGAGGCCUCAGAGGAAACCAACCCUGCCGGCACCUUGAUCUUGGAGUUCCAGCCUCCAGAACUGUGAGAAAAUGUAUUCCUGUUGUUGAAGCCAUUUCUGUUGUUCUGUGGCAUUUUGUUAUGGCAGCCCUAGCAAACUAAUAUGAUAAUUAACUCUUCCAAGUGCUGUUUCCAUUACAAAGUAUCCCAGAAUUUUAUAUUGGUGAAUCUGUGUUCCUCAGGCCAUGUCUUCCCUGUUGGAAAUGCUGUUAUUAUGUCCCAAGGUGACUUCAAGGAGUGGGUUAGAGGCUGAGACAGAGGGUGUGAGAUCGUCACUACUGUAACCUUGCUUUGUUCAGUAUGAACAUGCUCAGAUAUUCUCUGUUUUGUAUUGGGAGAUCGGGAAAGGAUUUAUUGAAAAAAUGUUUCCAUUAGCAAAUGAAGUUUGAAGGCAACUACCGUCUACAAGAGCAAACAAAUGCAUAAAAUUCAAAUAUUAUUUUGUCCCAACCUCAGUGUCAUGAGGGUCUCUUAUACAGAAUAGUAGAUGAGAAUAAAAUUUGAAUUGAUAAUACUGGAAUAGAGUAGUCAUUAUGCAAUGUAACAAACCUCAAAUAUUCAGUGGUUUAACACUAUAGAUGUUUAUUUACCACUCAUUCAAUGUAUGUGUUCCUUGUUAGCAGUAGUUUUCCUUGUAGUCAUUCAGGAAUCCAGGCAUAUUAGUUAUCUAUUUCUGUGUACCCCAUAAAAACCAUUUAUUAUUGCACACUUUCAGAGGGUCAGUAAUUUGGGAGUGGCUUAGCUGGGGUGUUCUGACCAGAGUCUCUCUUGAGGUUGUAGUCAAGAUGUUGGCUAGGGUUGCCAUCAUCUGAAAGCUUGACUGGGACUGUAUCCACUUUCAAGAUGGCGCACUUACUUGGCUGUUGGCAGGAAGCCUCAAUGACUUAUCAUGUGGUCUUCUCCACAGUGCUGCUUGAGCAUCCACACAACAUGGCGCUAGCUUCCCCCAGAGUGAGUAAUCCAGAAUGAAGAAGACAGAAACCACAAUAUCCUUUAUGAACUGGCCUUAUAAGUAAUAUUUUGUCAUUUCCAUAAAGUCCUAUUGGUUACACAAGACUGCCGUAUUCAAUAUAAGAGUGACAACACAUGGGGAUAAAUACUUGGAGGUGUAAAUCAUUGGGAACCAUCCUGGAAGUUGCCUACAAUACUAGGAUCUAUGGCUACAAUUCCCUGGGUCUUGGCUUCAAGACAGAGAAAAGGGAAAGAACAUGAAACAGCCCCAUGUGGUUUUUGUUUUUUUUUUAAUGGACAAGAGUAAGAAAUGGUGAACAUUUCUUCUACUCAUAUUCUACAGUUAGAAUUUGGUCACAUAAUGUAUCUAACUAUGAAGGUAGCUAGGUAAUAUCAUCUCUUGUUGGGAGGGUAGCUGGGAAUACCUCUAUACAAUGGAAGGAAGAGCAUGAACUUUUGGUGGAGAGAUAAUGCUCUCUGCCAUGAUAAAAUGAAAAAAAUAACAUAUGCAGAAUGGUCAACAUAACAGCAUGAAGCAAAUGCACAAUGAAUGAUAAUCAUAAUAUAGUGCUCUUUUGAUAAUCUAGUGCAUACCCAGAACCUGGGAGGUAUUUGGUUUUAAUACAUGUUUGUUGUAUGAAUACGUGAGUUAAGGUAAUGGAUGCAAAAAUGGUAUAAAUAGGAGGAAUUAUAAUUGAUAUUUCUUGAGUUAGCAUGUUUCAUUGGCUAUCUUUAUGGAGGUCCAGACCCUCCUCCGAAGGUGGAUAUUACUGUUCCGAUUUCAAUUGGUCAAAUAGAGACCAAGAGACUUUAGGCAACUUGUUUUAGAUUUGGCACUGAAUGGCGGGAAAGUGCAGAUUUUCUGAGUACUAUGUCUGGGCUCUUUGCUAUAAGCACUAUUGAUUUGAAUGGAUAAGAACAGAAAAGUCCUUUGCUCAGAGGAGAAUCAGGGCCACUGUAUCAGUCAGGGUCCAAUCAAGAGGCAGAAACUAUACCAGUUAUUUAAUUUCAUUUAUUUAUUUAUUAUUAUUUUUUAGAGAUGUGGUCUUGCUGUGUUGCUCAGGCUGUUCUCGAACUCCUGGGCUCAAGCAAUCCACCUGCCUUGACCUCCCAAACUGCUGGGAUUACAGGUGUGAGCCACUGUGCCUGGCCCCGUACCAGUUAUUUUAACAGAGAGAAUUUAGUAUGGCCCAGGCGCAGUGGUUCAAGCCUGUAAUCCCAGCACUUUGUGAGGCUGAGCAGGGAGGAUCACUUGGACCCAGGAGUUUGAGACCAGCCUGGGCAACAUAUUGAGAGUCCACUUAAGAAAAAGAAUUUAAUAUAAAGAACUUUUUUCUUUUCUUUUUUUUUUUUUUGAGAUAGAUGGAGUCUCACUCUGUUGCCCAGGCUGGAGUGCUGUGGCGUGAUCCCAGCUCACCGCAACAUACGCCUCCUGGAAUCAAGCACCUCUCCCGCCUCAGCCUCCGGAGCAGCUGGGAUUACAGGCACUCGCUAACACGCCUGGCUAAUUUUUGUAUUUUAGUAGAGGCAGGGUUUCACCAUGUUGACCAGGCUGGUCUCAAACUGCUGACCUCAAGUGAUCCCCUGUCCUCGGGCUCCCAAAGUGCUGGGAUUACAGGCAUGAGCCACCACGCCUGGCCGAGAAUUGUUAACUAGGAAUCAAGUUGAUAACCAGGCAACUAAAAAGGAAAAAAAAA
rnacentral:lncRNA from 1 species